AUGGAUCUUGUUCAUGAAGUCAAGGAUCUUUUAGAUUCAUUGGAAAUCAGCAAGAUAAGAACCAAGAUGUUCUACCUAGCUUUCAUUAUUGGCAAGGACUUUGGUGCCAUCAUAGCAUAUCUUGUAGCUGUUGUCUAUCCGGAAAAAGUAGCUUCUGUCAUAACUUUAGGCAUUCCUUUCAUCAAUCCUGGUGCUUCUGCUGUCAAAAAAGAUCUUCUCCCAAAAGGCUUUUACAUUACUAGGCGGCAGGAGCCUGGGAGGGCAGAAGCCGAUUUUGGCUGA